rnacentral:rRNA from 1 species
GACGAACGCUGGCGGCGUGCCUAAUACAUGCAAGUUGAGCGCUGAAGGUUGGUACUUGUACCAACUGGAUGAGCAGCGAACGGGUGAGUAACGCGUGGGGAAUCUGCCUUUGAGCGGGGGACAACAUUUGGAAACGAAUGCUAAUACCGCAUAAAAACUUUAAACACAAGUUUUAAGUUUGAAAGAUGCAAUUGCAUCACUCAAAGAUGAUCCCGCGUUGUAUUAGCUAGUUGGUGAGGUAAAGGCUCACCAAGGCGAUGAUACAUAGCCGACCUGAGAGGGUGAUAGGCAAAAUUGGGACUGAGACACGGCCCAAACUCCUACGGGAGGCAGCAGUAGGGAAUGUUAGGCAAUGGACGAAAGUCUGACCGAGCAACGCCGCGUGAGUGAAGAAGGGUUUCGGAUCGUAAAACUCUGUUGGUAGAGAAGAACGUUGGUGAGAGUGGAAAGCUCAUCAAGUGACGGUAACUACCCAGAAAGGGACGGCUAACUACGUG